ACAUGCACUUGGUUUUAUAGUAAAAAAAAUUUUUUAAAAGCCUCUACCAACGAUUUUUCCGCAGCGCCUCGGAGCGCCGCUUGAGCCUUAACGCGGCGCGUUCGGAUUCAUCGCUUUUGUCAUCCUGUUUUACCUUUCAGGAUAAUAAGUGGCCCUGUUAUUUAUAGUGCAGAAGAUGCUUGAGUUACUCAAAAGAUCACCAGGGUACGCUACUGCCAAAAUAAACUUGUAUUUCAGUACAGGCAUCGCUGAUUAAAGGUCUUAUAGUUCACGAGAAAUUGGUUCGCUAAUGGAAGCGUUUUUUAAAAACGUCAUUUUGAAGAUUGUCUCUCUCGUCGCCAUUUUGUAUAAAAAAAAUAAUAAAAAAAUUUUUUUCUAUA